CCUUUUUUUCCAACACGAUAGACUGGGUUAGCUCUGAGAGAAAGAGAGCUUCUGGAUCUCGUUCGCCAUCCACUGUCAUCGGCUUCAAACAAAACCGCCAUUUUCGCCGUCGUUCCCGCUGUCAUUUCUGCCGCCGGCACCGUCACCACUGCCGUGUCCGUUGCGGUAGAGAGCUUCUGGAUCAGGGAGGUUGAUGUUGGCCCCGAUGGUAAGAUCUGUUAUGAGGAUUUCAUCGCCAGAAUGGUAAACUCUUCACAUAUCAGAUCCUUGCAAAUUCCAUUCGCUCUGCUUCUGGAUUUUCCUAAAUGUGUUCUUCCUUUUUUCUCAGCUAUUUCCGUAUUGCUGUUUCUUCUUCUUCAUGUUUGGUUUUUUUUGUGCUGUUUCUUCUUCAUGUUUGUCUUCUAAAUCCCUUAUUGAAACCCUAAAACCUCACAUAAGGAAUAUUGUGCAUAUUGGCUGCGUUUGUCUCAAGUGUCAUUUAUUCAUUUUUGAAAUUAAACUAAUUUCUCCAUGGAUGAUCAUUUUGACAUGGUCAAGAUAGAUCGAUGAGAUGAACGGUGGACAAUGAAUGAGGUGUGACCUGUGCUGCCGCAGUGGCUACCGGCUAUUGAAUUCUCAUAGCUUAGAUUCCAGAUUCUGCUGCAGCCAUGUUUUUGGCCUCGUAAUCGCUUCCGAUCAAAUUUCAGAAGCUUGCUUAGCCAUCAGACUCCAUGGGAGACAUGGCGAUCAUUUUGAAAUUAAACUUCACAUAUUUGCACCUUGUAUCAUUGAUGAUCACAGUUAGCAUAGCAUCACAGAAAAUAAACAAGUCUUCUACUCUAGAAGUUGUUUAAAUCCAGUGAUCCAGUUUUCAUUCCAGUUCCUGAUAACUCUGCCAAUAAGAGGAUGCAUUUGCUUGGGUUUCUUCUAUUUCUGGGAUUAAAGUGGAUACUGAUUUUUCUCUCACCAGUUUCUUGUUCUUGCUUUUGAACAAGCGCUUGUUGAGUUUAACUAGCAACAAUGGAUAAAUCUUGGAUUGCUAAGCCACGAAACUCAGAUGAAUAUAUAGUUGGUCUAGAAAACUUCUUGGAUUUUGCAUUUCAACAUAGAGCAAUUGAGAAUAGUAAGAUAAUAUGUCCGUGUCCAAUUUAUUAGAUAGCGAUGCUAUUGAAGAUAAUGUAGCUACUAACUUGGCAAGGGAUAUGUUUGAAUGAAAAUUUGUACAAAAUUUUACCAAAGAUUUCAUAUGGGAAGACAACCACCAAUAAUAAUAGCAGAGGCAGAGCUUUGUACUAAAGUUGGAAUUGUUACCAGAGGAAGUUCUUGUCAUUCGUAAGAUUCAUCCAUGUUUGCCAUCUUUCAAGGCUGAAUUCACUGCAUCUGUUCCUCUGACUCGAGUUAGAGAUAUUGCUCACCGAAAUGACAUCCCACAUGACCUCAAGGUUGUUUUUCCACAGUACCUCAAGUAUGUAAUCCCAUUUUAGUUUAAUAUAAAUGAUAGAUUGCCUGUUUCAUGCAAGAUGGGUGAACCCUUGUGUUGGUGCUACUUCUAUGCUACUGUUUUUAUAUAUUAGAUGGUGCUACUUCUAUGCUGUUUUUAUUUUGAGACUUUAUAUGUAAUUAGACGAUAUUGAAAUAUUAAAGUUGUUGUUUUAUUUUAUUUUUUAAAGAAAAACAAUAAUAGUUAUGUAGAAUAA